AUUGAUGAUCAUUGGAUCAGUCCAGGUUAUGAGAAGCACAGGGAAACAAAUAGGUUGUGAUUUUAAUAAGAUUUCCAGUGAGUAUUCGAAAUCUUGCAGAAAAGCGUCGUAUGUUGAGGACAUAUUCAGAGAAUUAGGUCGUGAUGGGGAAAUCAGACCAGCUGAGUUUCUCGAGCAAUUAUCCACGACUUGCAGUAACUAUGAAUCUUACAUGAAAUGUGCUAAUUGCACUGCUAAACGAGUCUGUGAGGAUGAAAAAACAAAGUUAAAGGAAUUACUCAGUGAAAGAUGGGCGCUUUUUUGCGACGGUGACCAACCAUCAGACUGGCUGAAGACAAUAUUACAGAACCAGUACAGCUACAACAAGUCUUGUGAACAAGUAUUUAAAAUUCUUUCUACGCGUGUGUAGGCGGAGAUCCGAAGGCUAAUACAAAUGCAACAUCUCUGACGGAUGUUUCCGAGAUAUACAGAGAAGCUUUCUCAGGCAUUUUCAAAUGUGUAAUUGGUGAACUGUUUAGCCAUGUGGAUUAUGUGAUACAAUGUGGAUCUUCGUGGCAGGAUAUCUUACUUACAGGCUGGCUAGAAUUUUCCGCUUCAUACGGUGUUGCAGUUCAAAUCAGCGAAGAUGAAGUUGAACAAUUGAAAGUGAUGAGAUGCAAGUAAGAAUUAUCAGCAUUUUCUACUGAAAUAGCACCAUACACCUCAUUUUUGGCAGUCGAUACACGUCACAUCACAUUGCGGAAUAUUUUGUAGAAUAUAUCUAUCAUACUAUUUAAUGUAGUAAAAUUGUGCAUCAUAA
rnacentral:lncRNA from 1 species